rnacentral:lncRNA from 1 species
UAUUUCACAGUCAGCCAGGGCCCAGGGGUAGUGAGCCAAACGGCGCGUCAUAGAGUACCAUUAUUUUAGGGGGUCAUUUGGCGUUCCUUAAUGGUAUUCCUCGAUGAAAAUUGAAAGCAUACAAGUAACUAGAAAACUCGUGUUUCAAUUUCAAAAGAAACAAAUAAUUGAGUAAACUUUUGAAUUAAACUUCAAUAUUUUCUGUAAAGAUUUUAAGUUCUACUAACGAUUACACUUCAAUUCUUAAGGAUUACAAUCAUGGCUCGAAGAUUACUAACAAGAACAGAAUUGAGGAUGGAAGACCUGCAGGAAUAUGAGUUUGUUAAAAAGCAUCAAGAAAGGAGAAAAAAUGGAAUGGAUAGCUCGAACACAUCAGCAUUUGGUAGACCAGAGGAAUCUAUGAUUUCAAGUUUUAAACACAAUAGAGAAAUGAUUUAUGAAAGGAUUGGUUAUAACCCAACUCCUAGAAAUCCACAAUGAUCAAGUCAGUUUACAUGUUAUUACACAAGUUCAUUAUA